rnacentral:lncRNA from 1 species
ACCCACUCAUGCAUGAAUACACAUGUGCACUUCUCCAGGACAAAAUAUCCUUUGGAGUAUAAUUAUUCUCUGGAAAUGACAUUUCACUUGACUUCCCAACAGGAUUAUGGAAAUGUAUCUUUUUGUGAAUCUAUUUAGCUGGUGCUUCAAGCCACAGUUUGAAUCUCAUUUUUGUUUGUUUGUUUGUUUGUUUGUUUUUUGUUUUUGUUUUGUUUUGGUUUUUUUUUGAGACAGGGUUUCUCUGUAUAGCCCUGGCUGUCCUGGAACUCACUCUGUAGACCAGGCUGGUCUUUAACUCGGAGAUCAUCCUGCCCCUGUCUCCGGAGUGCUCAGACUAAAGGUGUGCACCACUACAGCCUGGCUAGUGUAUGAAUUUAACCUAACAUAGUACCCCAUGCUUUGGUUUUGUUUUUGCCAUUUUUUGUGUUGUUACUCUCUUUCCUGGGUUUGAUCUUUCUUUCUGAACAACAACCCUUUAAGGUCCAGUUAGUCUUCCAGCUUUCCUAGAAAUGAGUUAAGAAGAGGUCUAUUUCCUUGGUAGCAACCAAGGAGCAAAUAUAGCGGUUUUGGGGACAAAUUUUCCCUCCUUAUAACUUGGUUAAUUGGUUUUAAAUCUCUUAGAUGCUCUCUGUUUUGUUCAUGAGAAAAAUGUACUUAAGUUCCUUUUGAAAUAUAUUUCAAAUGAGAAUGAGACCUAGUGAGUCCUUGAAUAAUUUCAUACUGAUAUUGCUUUUAAGAAAGAUGAAAGAGCCAGACUUAGUGGCACAUGGCUUUAAUCCCAGCAUUUGGGAGACAGAGGCAGGUGGAUUUCUGUGAGUUCAAGGUCUACAGAGUGAGCUCCCUGUCUCAAAAAAAAAAAAAAAAAAAAAAUCCCAAAAGAUGAAGUAGGGACUGGGGAGAUGGCAAUUAAGUGAACUGCCUGCUCUUUCAGAGGACCAAAACUCAGUUCCCGACACCUAUACCAAGGGCUCAUAACUGACUAUAACUCCAGUCCAGGGGAUAUGACAACCUUUUCUUGUGUUCGUGGGCACUACAUACAUACAGCAUACACAUGGACACACAUAAAUAAAAAUGAAUCGC